CCUGUCCCUAGAGGCAUUGCAGGUGUGGCUACUGUGUCACAUGUGUGUCAGUAGGUGGUAGAGAGGGAAAGGCCAUGUCUACACUCAGUGUCCUGACCUGGGAACAUCUGAAUGAUCAGUAGCCUAACACU
rnacentral:snoRNA from 1 species